rnacentral:rRNA from 1 species
UACGUAGGCAGCAAGCGUUGUUCGGAGUUACUGGGCGUAAAGAGUGCGUAGGUGGUGCCCUAAGUCUGUUGUGAAAUCUCCCGGCUUAACUGGGAGGGUGCGGUGGAAACUGGGGUGCUUGAGUGUGGGAGAGGUAAGCGGAAUUCCUGGUGUAGCGGUGAAAUGCGUAGAUAUCAGGAGGAACACCGGUGGCGAAGGCGGGAUCCUGGGCCAGUACUGACGCUGAGGAGCGAAAGCGUGGGGAGCAAACAGG